AUUGAACUGUGUGUUGGGGGGUCGGGUUUAGGAAUUGAAUUACUGUAGAUAUAUAUGCAUAAUUACUAAUGGUACUUAGUUGUCGGAGGAUUGGAUGGAUAUAUAAUGAGACGAGGAUCUGAGAAAGAUUGCUCCAUCAACUCUCCCACCAAACAAACAGGUCUUGUCAAAAAAGCUUUAAAAAAACCCAGAACAAACCUACAUCUGUCUUCUCUUCUUUCCUCCAUUUAUCACCAUCGAUCUGUCCCUCAUCUCCGUCAUCCCCUCCUCUCCACCGUCAAUUAUAUUGAUUUGUUUAUCUGUUAAUCAAAUUAUUUAUGCUCUCAUCUCAUCUCAUCUCAUCUCAUCUCAUCUCUUUUAUUAAUAUAUGCUGUCACACCAUCAAAUACGAUCCAUGAAAGGCCCUGCAGGUGGUCUGUGUGUGUGUGUGUUCGCGCUGAGCUCAUCAUACCUGCAAACCCGCUACCUAGUGCAAGUGUGUGCAACCAACAACAAAAAAAUUAAUGAGUGAGCUAGGCUGCUGCUAGCUAGGAAGGAACAAAUUGUUAAAACAAAAGAUAACUUGGCUCUCUACUUUAAAAGGAGUUACUUCUUCUUAUAGAAAAAUCGCAGAUGCAUACUUUUUGUUUAAUUUUGACAGAACAUGUAAAAAGGGUUAACUAUUUAUGCGGGGUUAGGUCGAUAUAUAAAAGAAACCCUAGAUCUUGUUCGUUCAAUCAAGGGAUUUGAAAUGUUGGUAUGUGGUUUACAUGUAUAGUUUGCGAAGAAAAUUAAGUGAAGGGGUGGGGGUGUAUGUAAUAUGUAUGGAUGUGAAUGUGAGCGGAUAGCUAGGUUUCAGAUCUGACUCUUUCUCUCUCUCUUGGUGUGUGUGUGUGUGGAUGUGGAAUAUAGUAAAGUAAAAUAGGGGAAGCUCAAGCUUGAAGCUACUGACAGAAGAGAGUGAGCACACAAACGCAGGCAAUUGUAUAAAAGCAUAUACCUUGGUGCGGUGCGUGCUCACUUCUCUCUCUGUCAGCUGCUGCUGCUGCUGCUGCCGCCCUUGCCCUUCCAUUCUUUUUUCUCACUUAAAUUCACAGAGAAGGGCACUGUCCACAGAUGCUUUCUCAUCAGCGGCCCAGGAAAAAGGCAGGAAAGUAAAGCCAGGGGCCAGGGCCCCCUCUUCUCUUUCAAUUCUCCUUCUUCCAGGUGUCUUUCUGUUUGUAAUUCAAGCUUACUGGAUGGAUCUACGUGGCUCCUGGAGUUCACAACCAAAUAUCUUCUUGAGCAGUUGAAGAGGACGAAUUGGGUUUUGAAUAUUCAGUAAGUCCUCAGGGAACUGCUAAAUAUGGAAUACAUCUCAUUCUUUCCUCAUAUGGCCAGAUCUCAGCUUUUCUUGUGUCAGAAAUUACAUUUUCGAAGAUGGGAUGAAUUUCCUUAUACAGGGGCAGCAGAUUUAUGCUUCCAUUCAUUUGCAGAACGUUAAUCAUCAAGGUUUGAGAUGUACUAUCAAGCCACCUUAAAGUGAUGGCUUAUGCGCUGAAUUGCCAGCUUCCAAUUCACCUUUCAUCUUUUGGCUUAGCACAGAUGAAGCAAACGAAAUUACUCUUUGUUGGUGCGAGCAUGCAUGGGAAACAGAAUAUCAGUCUCUUCAAAGUUCAAAGGGUUUGGGAUCAGCAAAAGGGUUUAGCUUGGCACUUAGAAUUCCUGAGAUGAGAGGAAGCUGCAAUCUCAAAGCUUUAUGAUCGAUAUCAUAUGAGCAUUGCUCUGCAAAAAGCUUUGGAGGGGAAUUGAAGUUGGUGCGGAUGGAGGAUCUAUUCUAAGGUGGAUUGGAUUUGGGUCUAUUGCAUUUGGAAGAGCGAAUCAAAACAACAGACAAUGGUGGAAGAUCUGUCUGACAACCCUUUUUAACCCCAAACUCAAAGGGUCGAAGGUGGAUUUGGGCUUAUUGGAAAGUUGGUAGGAAAUAGGCCCAUCUGUGGUUCAUUAUCGGAAUGUUAGGCCCAAAGGACAAGUCAAAUUUCUGAAAGCCAGGCAGCCUGCCUGUGCUGUGGCUGUGCUUGAAGAAUCAGAAAGGAGACUUUUAGGUUGAUGAAAAGGCAAAUUUUCUGCUGCUAUGAAUCAAAAUUUGGCUCUCUUGUUGUGAUAAUUAAUAAAUCCAAUCCAAGGAAGGAGAUAAUCUUUUCAUUGCAGACAGAAAGAAUCAUAUAUAGACAUGAUUGUCUUUUAACUUCUUGUGUUGUCUGGAUUCUUGAUGAAUAUGAUAUUAACAUGAUUGAGU